AUGGGGACAUGCUGGGGACACGAUGGGGACACUUUGGCUACACGAUGGGGACAUGCUGGGGACACGAUGGGGACACUUUGGCUACACGAUGGGGACAUGCUGGGGACAGUUUGGGGACACGUUGGGGACACAAUAGGGACAUACUGGGGACACGAUUGGGACAUGAUGGGGACAUGAUGGGGACAUGAUGGGGACAUGAUGGGGACAGUUUGGGGACGUGAUGGGGACACGAUGGGGACACUUUGGCUACAUGAUGGGGACACAUUGGGGACACACUGGCGACACAAUAGGGGCAGUUUGGGGACACAUUGGGGACACGUUGGUGACACACUGGGGACAUGCUGGGGACAUUAUUGGGACACACUGGGGACACGAGGGGGACAUGAGGGGGAUACGUUGGGGACAUGAUGGGGACACGAUGGGGACAUGAUGGGGACACUCUGGGGACACUUUGGCUACAUGAUGGGGACACAUUGGGGACACGAUGGGGACAUGUUGGGGACACGCUGAGGGCACGAUGGCUACACGAUGGGGACACGCUGGGGACACGUUGGGGACACGCUGGGGACACGCUGGGGACAGUUUGGGGACCCGAUGGGGACACGUUGGGGACACUUUGGCUACACGAUGGGGACAGUUUGGGGACACGAUGGGGACACGAUGGGGACACACUGGGGACAUGCUGGGGACAUUAUUGGGACACACUGGGGACACGAGGGGGACACGAGGGGGACACGAGGGGGACACGAGGGGGACACGAUGGGGACACUUUGGCUACACGAUGGGGACAGUUUGGGGACACGAUGGGGACACGAUAGGGACACACUGGGGACAUGCUGGGGACACAUUGGGGACACGAUGGCUACAUGAUGGGGACACGACGGCUACAUGAUUGGGACACGCUGGGGACACGCUGGGGACACGUUGGGGACAAUUUGGGGACACGCUGGGGACACGUGGGUGCCCUGACCGCGCUCGAUGCUCUCGAACUCCUUCUCCUCGCCCGUCAUGCGUGGGAUGCGCGUGCACGCGUUGCUCACGCUCGUGGCCACCGCGUACACCUGCACCACGGGGCACCAGUGUCACCAGCGUCACCGGUGUCACCACUGUCUCCCAUUGCCACCAUUGUCCCCAGUGUCCCCAUUCCCCCCAGCAUCCCCAGUGUCCCCACUAUCUCCCAUUGCCUCCAGUGUCCCCAGCGUCCCCAACAUCUCCCAUUGUCCCCAGUGUCCCCAAUGUCCCCAUUCCCCAUAAUGUCCCAAUUCCCCCCAGUGUCCCCAUGCCUCCAAAACCUCCAAUGUCCCCAUUGCUCCCACUGCCCCCAAUGUCCCCAUUCCCCAUAAUGUUCCUAUUCUCCCCCACUGUCCCCAGUGCCUCCAAUACCCUCAACGUCCCCAUUGCUCCCAUUGCCCCCAGUGUCCCCACUCCCCCCAGUGCCCCCAUGCCUCCAAUACCCCCAGUGUCCUCACUGCUCCCACUCCCCCCAGUGUCCCCUGGGUCCCCAAUGUCCCCUUUCCCCAUAAUGUCCCUAUUCUCCCCAACUGUCCCCAGUGCCUCCAACGUCCCCAGCAUCCCCACAGAUCCCACUCCCCCCCUUGCCCCCCCCUUGCCUCCCUGUGCCCACCUUGGACUCGACGUGGUAGGCGACGUAGUGCGCGGUGCAGCGCAGCGGGAUCUUGCGGACGGGCCACGGCGCGUCGUAGGAGAGCGCGGCGGGCAGGACGCUGAUGCGCAGCUCCCCCUGACAAGGGGGGACCCCAAUUAACGGGAACCCCAAUUAACGGGAACCCCAAUUAAUGGGAACCCAGUCAACGGGGGCCCAAGUGAACGAGAACCCAAAUUGGAGAGAACCCACGUUCAUGGCAAAGGACAUGAAUGGAAAUGCAAAUGAAUGAGAAUCCACGUCAACGGCGGCUCAAGUGAAGGGGGGACGCCAAUUAAUGGGAUCCCCAAUUAAUGGGAACCCAAUUAAUGGGGACCCCAAUUAAUGGGAACCCAGUCAACGGGGGCCCAAGUGAACGAGAACCCAAAUUGAAGAGAACCCAAGUUAAUGGCAAAUGACACAAAUGGAAACGCAAAGAAACGAGAAUCCAUGUCAAUGCUGACCCAAGUCAAGGGGGACCCCAAUUAACGGGAACCCCAAUUAACGGGAACCCCAAUUAACAGGGGCCCAAAUGAACGAGAACCCAAACUGAAGAGAACCCAAGUUCAUGGCAAAGGACAUGAAUGGAAACGCAAAUGAACGAGAACCCACGUCAAUGGCGGCUCAAGUGAAGGGGGGAUGCCAAUUAACGGGAUCCCCAAUUAAUGGGAACCCAAUUAAUGGGGACCCCAAUUAAUGGG
rnacentral:lncRNA from 1 species